GGAUGUGAACGUGACCUGACUGUAAGCCUCCACUUCUCACUGAUAAUCAAGGUUUAUACUUUUGAUCUGAUGAGCUGCACUGGGCUUCUCCUUCCUUCUUUACUUUUCCAGGAAGAUCCCUCCUGAAGUUCCACUGCUGACAGUAAAAGGUGACCUUCUCAGGUACAGGAGGCUGUUCCUCGAAGGGGAGAAGCAGCAGUGGGGCUC
rnacentral:snRNA from 1 species